AUUGCAUGUGAGUCCCUCAUUUGGCAGGUUUAGCUGCUUUUAAUACGAUAUUGCUAGCUGCCUUGUGAAGGGCUUACGUGUGAU
rfam:Drosophila virilis strain TSC#15010-1051.87 Ctg01_10966, whole genome shotgun sequence.